rnacentral:rRNA from 1 species
CCCUUAGAUGUUCUGGGCUGCACGCGCGCUACACUGACGCACGCAACAGGUGCCUGCUCCGAGAGGACUGGGUAAUCAUUUGAGUGUGCGUCGUGAUGGGGAUAGAAUAUUGUAAUUAUUACUCUUCAACGAGGAAUUCCUAGUAAGCGCCAGUCAGCAGCUUGCGCUGAUUACGUCCCUGCCCUUUGUACACGCCGCCCGUCGCUCCUACCGAUGGGUGAUCCGGUGAAUGAUUCGGACUUCAGCGGCUCCCCUGGGGUGCGCCGGAGAAAGUUUUGUGAACCUUAUCACUUGGAGGAAGGAGAAGUCGUAACA